rnacentral:rRNA from 1 species
CAGUCGCCGCGGUAAUACAGAGGGUGCAAGCGUUAAUCGGAAUUACUGGGCGUAAAGCGCGCGUAGGUGGUUUGUUAAGUUGGAUGUGAAAUCCCCGGGCUCAACCUGGGAACUGCAUCCAAAACUGGCAAGCUAGAGUAUGGUAGAGGGUGGUGGAAUUUCCUGUGUAGCGGUGAAAUGCGUAGAUAUAGGAAGGAACACCAGUGGCGAAGGCGACCACCUGGACUGAUACUGACACUGAGGUGCGAAAGCGUGGGGAGCAAACAGGAUUAGAUACCCGCGUAGUCCCUGUCUCUUAUAC